CUUACUGAUAGCCCUAUCAGUUUGGGCACAUACACAUACAAUCUCACUCACUAACAGGAACACACACACACAAUCUCACUCACUAACAGGAACACACACACACACACAUACACAUACAAUCUCACUCACUAACAGGAACACACACAAUCUCACUAACUAACAGGAACACACACACACACAUACACAUACAAUCUCACUCACUAACAGGAACACACACACACAAUCUCACUCACUAACAGGAACACACACACACACACAUACACAUACAAUCUCACUCACUAACAGGAACACACACAAUCUCACUAACUAACAGGAACACACACACACACAUACACAUACAAUCUCACUCACUAACAGGAACACACACACACAAUCUCACUCACUAACAGGAACACACACACACACACACAUACACAUACAAUCUCACUCACUAACAGGAACACACACACACAAUCUCACUCACUAACAGGAACACACAUACACACACACAUACACAUACAAUCUCACUCACUAACAGGAACACACACAAUCUCACUCACUAACAGGAACACACACACAUACACAUACAAUCUCACUCACUAACAGGAACACACACACAUACACAUACAAUCUCACUCACUAACAGGAACACACACAAUCUCACUCACUAACAGGAACACACACACACAUACACAUACAAUCUCAUUCACUAACAGGCAUAUACACACACAUACACAUACAAGCUCACUCACUAACAGGACCACACACACACAAUCUCACUUCAAGGAGCCCAAUACCACUAUAAUGAGCUGCAUUAUCGAGUUGCCAGAAAGAAGCCUUUAUUGCACCAAUGCCCAAAAAAACAGCAUUUUACAAUAUGCCCGACAACACGUUGACAUGUCUCACAGCUUCUGACACACCAGAACU